CCUACGAGAGGCAGCAGUGGGGAAUAUUGCACAAUGGGGGGAACCCUGAUGCAGCAACGCCGCGUGGGUGAAGAAGUACUCCGGUAUGUAAAGCCCUGUCAGCAGGGAAGAAAAUGACGGUACCUGACCAAGAAGCCCCGGCUAACUACGUGCCAGCAGCCGCGGUAAUACGAAGGGGGCAAGCGUUAUCCGGAUUUACUGGGUGUAAAGGGAGCGUAGACGGCAAGGCAAGUCUGGAGUGAAAGCCCGUGGCCCAACCACGGGACUGCUUUGGAAACUGUGUUGCUGGAGUGCAGGAGGGGUAAGCGGAAUUCCUAGUGUAGCGGUGAAAUGCGUAGAUAUAAGGAAGAACACCAGUGGCGAAGGCGGAUGACUGGACGGCAACUGACGGUGAGGCGCGAAAGCGUGGGGAGCAAACAGGAUUAGAUACCCGGGUAGUC
rnacentral:rRNA from 1 species